GAUUGAACGCUGGCGGCAUGCCUUACACAUGCAAGUCGAACGGUAACAGGUCUUCGGAUGCUGACGAGUGGCGAACGGGUGAGUAAUACAUCGGAACGUGCCCGAUCGUGGGGGAUAACGGAGCGAAAGCUUUGCUAAUACCGCAUACGAUCUACGGAUGAAAGCAGGGGACCGCAAGGCCUUGCGCGGACGGAGCGGCCGAUGGCAGAUUAGGUAGUUGGUGGGAUAAAAGCUUACCAAGCCGACGAUCUGUAGCUGGUCUGAGAGGACGACCAGCCACACUGGGACUGAGACACGGCCCAGACUCCUACGGGAGGCAGCAGUGGGGAAUUUUGGACAAUGGGCGAAAGCCUGAUCCAGCCAUGCCGCGUGCAGGAUGAAGGCCUUCGGGUUGUAAACUGCUUUUGUACGGAACGAAAAGACUCUGGUUAAUACCUGGGGUCCAUGACGG
rnacentral:rRNA from 1 species